rnacentral:rRNA from 1 species
CAUGGCUCAGGAUGAACGCUGGCGGCGUGCUUAACACAUGCAAGUCGAACGGUGAACACGGAGCUUGCUCUGUGGGAUCAGUGGCGAACGGGUGAGUAACACGUGAGCAACCUGCCCCUGACUCUGGGAUAAGCGCUGGAAACGGCGUCUAAUACUGGAUAUGUGACGUGACCGCAUGGUCUGCGUCUGGAAAGAAUUUCGGUUGGGGAUGGGCUCGCGGCCUAUCAGCUUGUUGGUGAGGUAAUGGCUCACCAAGGCGUCGACGGGUAGCCGGCCUGAGAGGGUGACCGGCCACACUGGGACUGAGACACGGCCCAGACUCCUACGG